rnacentral:rRNA from 1 species
UACGUAGGGCGCAAGCGUUGUCCGGAAUUAUUGGGCGUAAAGAGCUCGUAGGCGGUCUGUCGCGUCCGUUGUGAAAACUCGAGGCUCAACCUCGGGCUUGCAGUGGAUACGGGCAGACUAGAGUGCGGUAGGGGAGACUGGAAUUCCUGGUGUAGCGGUGGAAUGCGCAGAUAUCGGGAGGAACACCAGUGGCGAAGGCGGCAUCCUGGCCAUGUCCUGACGCUCAGGGGCGAAAGCGUGGGGAGCAAACCGG